GCGGGCGUGGCGAAACUGGUAGACGCAAGGGACUUAAAAUCCCUCGGCCUUGGCCGUACGGGUUCGACCCCCGUCGCCCGCACCA
rnacentral:tRNA from 2 species